rnacentral:rRNA from 1 species
UACGUAGGGGGCAAGCGUUGUCCGGAUUUAUUGGGCGUAAAGAGCGUGUAGGCGGCCAGACAGGUCCGUUGUGAAAACUCGAGGCUCAACCUCGAGACGCCGAUGGAAACCGUCUGGCUAGAGUCCGGAAGAGGAGAGUGGAAUCCUGGUGUAGCGGUGAAAUGCGCAGAUAUCAGGAAGAACACCCGUGGCUAAGGCGGCUCUCUAGUACGGUACUGACGCUGAGACGCGAAAGCGUGGGGAGCGAACAGG